CCAGACAGUUUCUAUUCUUUCUACUGGUUUGAAGAUCUGCUUCCUUUGGAAACUUACUCUGAAGAGUGCCAGGCGUGGUCUGAGUACUUUGAUCCUCCAGUGGGCAGGUAUCAUUAUUGUCUUCACCCUGCAGAGAAGAAAACAGGCGUUGGGAGUUCCACAAUUUGCCUAAAGCAAUGGAAACUGAAAUGCAGAAAAGAUAAGGAAUACAAAGCUUUCACCACUAAUGAAUGCAGAAUUGGUCUUGUGACUUGACAGCUAACAUAUAAACAUCAUAGUUCUUACUACUGGUGGUCAUGAAGACAAGCACUGGAAGAGGCAUAUUUAAAACUGAGCAAAACCAGACAACACAAGGAGAAUGUAAACUAGAAAACAUGAAUCAGCUCUUAUUACGGGAAUCACAACAGGAACAGAGAAUGGCACAUUGAUCAUCUAUUCUUGAGACAAUGGCUAAACUGAGAGCCGAAGCACCACAAAAGCAACUUCCUUCUUCCUGCAGUUGGCUGCAUGUAUCUAUGAACAAAGUGAAGAAUAUGAGAAGGCAACUCAGAAAUGAAUUCAACAUCAAAGACUAGCCUCGCUGUUUAUUUAGAACCCACGUCAUGCAUGACUCAGGUAAGACCCAGCAAUAAGAACCUUCAUGGAGCCAGCCAAGAAAUACCAUGACUGAAAUGAAUUGUUGACUCCUAUAUCUCAUCAUUUGAUUUCUCUAUCACUGGGCCCUUUGUCACGUGUUUUGAAAAGCAAAACUGUAACUAUUCUUGUUAUGACUUUCCAUGAAAAAUGAAGUGCUGUGUUCUUCUGGCA